rnacentral:tRNA from 1 species
GGGGAUGUAGUUCAGCAGUGGAGAGCCUGCCUGGCAAGCAUGAGGCCCUGAGCUCAAUUCCUGGCACCCCUA